UAACUCACCCCCCCCUCUCUCUCUCUCUCCCCUCCUCUCCCUCUCCCUCCCUCUCUCUCUCUCUCCCUCUUUCUCUCUCUCUCUCUCUCUCUCUCUUCCCUCUCUCUCCCUCUCUCUCUCCCUCUCUCUCUCUCCCUCUAUCUAUCUUUCUCUCUCUCUUUCUCCCUCUCUAUCUCUCUCUCUCCCUCUCUCUUUCUCCAUCUUACUCUCUCUUUCUCUCUCUCUCUCUUCCUGGUUUUGCGCAUGGACUGAGUGUGUGGGCGGAGCUUGAGAGCUGUGAGCGAAAGCUGUGAGCGAAAGCUGCGUGUGGCCGCCGUGCCAGUAUUGCUGCUUUUUUCUAACUUUCUUUAUAUCUAUAUCUAUAUAUGUUUGUUUGUGUGUGUAUUGGUUUCUUUGAAGGAGUUGUAGUUUUUUGUGUGGUGUGGUGUGUGUGUAGUGUGGUUGGUUUUUUCUCUUACCUGGGCGUCUGUUUUCUGUGCCGAAAACAUGGCUGCCUCAGGUGCGGGAAAGUUUGAUUUUCUUACUAGGAGGCACGCGGUCAAGGUUGCCUCUAACGCCAGUGUUGAAAUUUGUAGUUUGGCCGUAGGAGACGUUGUUGGGCAUGACAACAUUUUGUCCGCGGCACGUAUGAAUAGUGCUAUUGUUAUGUUCCUUCGGACGGUAGAUAUGGCCAACGAAGUUGUUGAGAGUGGAAUAGUGGUUGAUGGCAGUUUUACACCUGUGCUCCCUUUAUCUACCCCUUCUAAGAAGGUUACAAUCUCUAAUGUCCCGCCUUUCAUAAAAGAUGAUACUCUUGUUAAUAUUCUAUCUCGAUAUGGUAAACUAGUUUCACCGAUUAAGAAAAUCACGAUAGCGAGCAAAUCCCCGUUACUGAAACACGUAGUGUCUUUCAGGCGUUUUGCUUACAUGGUCCUACUGAAAGACAAGAAGGAUCUUGAUUUAGCGUUAAAUAUGAAAAUUGAUGAUUUCGAUUACACUGUAUUUAUUACAACGAGCAUGGUUAAAUGUUUUGGAUGUGGCCAAGCAGGUCAUCUGGUGCGAGCCUGUCCAAAUAAGCGAGACAAUCCCGGCAAUAAUAAUCGCUCCGAUGAAAAUCAGGAGAAGGCCGAAGAAAGCCAGCCCGCCAGUAAUGAGGAACCCAGGAAUGGAGAGGGUGAUGGGGCGGACGGGGUUCAGACGACAGGAGAGGAAACAGAGGCACCCUAUCACGCAGAGACACCUGAGGCUAGUUCCUCUGAGCAGGUCAGCAAUGUCCCCGCUGAACCACUGGAGGAAGAGGAAACUGAGGCUGGCAUGAGUGUGGACAACACUCAAAACAGUGAAGGGUCAGUGGAUACAGGUGAUCAUUUUCUUGCUGAGACAGUGGGGGAAAGAGGGCCUCUAGCUGAAACUGAUGGAGGCUUUAAGGUGCCAAAUAUCCAAAAGAGGAGGAGAUCAACCAGCUCCCAUUCAAAGGCCAAAAAGAAAGACAAUCCAAGUUGUCCCGUUACCACGGAUACAGAAAGCGGGAGUGAAUCCGAUUGCAGCAUAUCUUGCUCUUUGCGACAUAGUGGUUACCCCAGUCCCUCAUACAGUGUCGAGGACAUUAAGAGGUUUCUACAACAGACCAAAC
ensembl:lncRNA